AUAAAUAUUUAAAGUCAAACUAAAUAUUUGGCUUGCUAACUAGUUUGAAGCUAAAUAAGUAGCUUGCAACUGUUAUCUAGCUAAGUAAAUACUUUGAGACAAGAGUAAUAACCCAAAUUAUUGCUGUUAAUUAUUUACAGUGCAAGAUUUAAAAACUGUACCGGAGAUGGAAACAGUUAUGGCGGGUUAAGAGAGCGGUGGAGGAAGCCCUGGCGUGUCUGCCGCCGAGCAAAGCUAAUGGGUUCAGACAGUGACAGAGAAAGGAAAGGUCAGCCAUGACACUCCAUGUUUGUGUCCUUUGUGAUAUCUCUGCCUUUCGCUAUCUACAGCAGCCUGGUGGCAAUGUUCUGCUCAUGUGGAGCCAAAAAUGAUACAGCAUGUUUCACAACUCAGGGGAUUUUAUUUCACCGCCAGUUAUGCCUCAAGAUUGUCACCUGCGACAACGGGACCGCCAUGUAAGCAUCGGAGAAAGCUGGACGUUAAGCCUGCGGCUGGUGGUCCAUGAGGAGCGAUCCCUGUAGAAGCAGCUGUUUCCGUGAGACCGGCCGUUAAAUCCCCGCUCUCAGCAGCCGCUGACGAGGGCAACACGAGAUUUUUCCCGUCAUCCAGGACCGUUUCGUUCCAGUCCUCUUGUUUCCUCCGUUUCACACGAUUCAGAAAUGAAAUUCUCCCUGCAUGUUUUGGAGGCUGAACAUGUGCCGUCAUGAGACCUGCGUGUGCCACCCACUAACAUCUGCCAUCCGCCAUGCUUCAGUGUCUUCACGCCCGGAGCCUGAGGAGAAACUCCACCAACGUUCUGCCGUGUCGGCAACCUGUGAUGCUGCAGAGAAACUUCAAAACGAUGCAGAGCCUGAAGACCAGCUGCUGUGUUCACAUGGCAACUUGAGAUCGCUUCAGAAACUCUUGACAUUCGUUCAAAUUAAUGUGAGGAUGUAAAAUCAGCAAAAGGAAAAGUCCAGGCAGGAAGAUCCAGAGCUGGGAUUGUAACCUACAACCUUCUUGCCGUUGCUACGCCAACAAAUGUAAAUUACGGCAUAAGCUGGACAAAAACCAGCAAUUAUUUAGCUAAUUUAGUUACAAGA